GGCUUCCGGAGCUAACGCGUUAAAUCACCCCUGGGGAGUACGGCCGCAAGGUUAAAAUCAAAGAAUACGGGGGCCCGCCCAACGGUGGAGCAUGUGGUUUAAUUGAUGCAACGGAAGAACCUUCCUGGUCUUGACAUCCACAAACUUCCAAAUGUUGGUGCCUUCGGGAAUGUGAGACAGGUGUGCAUGGCGUGUCAGCUCGUGUUGUGAAAUGUGGGUUAAGUCCCGCAACGAGCGCAACCCUUAUCCUUUUUCCAGCGGUUGGCCGGGACUCAAAGGAGACUGCCGUGAUAAACGGAGGAAGGUGGGGAUGACGUCAAGUCAUCAUGGCCCUUACGACCAGGGCUACACACGUCUACAAUGGCUACAAAGAGAAGCGACUCGCGAGGCAAGCGACCUCAUAAAGUAUGUAGUCCGGAUGAGUCUGCAACUCGACUCCGAAGUCUGGAACGCUAUA
rnacentral:rRNA from 1 species